CUUCAGUGCGACAGCCUCAGAGCUGGUGGAGAGACAGAGAGCACGCAACUGGAUAAAUUCAGACGUGGAAUUCCUGGAUCAAAUGGUACUCGAAGAGUUAAAGAUGUCUGGAGUCAGUGCCUGGAAUUUUCUAGAAUGGUAUCAGAGGAAAAAGUCAGAAAUGUAUGAAGAGCAGAAAUAACAAUGUUUGUCAGCUUGUUGCUGGCAGUAGUAUGCUCUAGUAUUCAAAGGAUGGAGGAUGGAAGGCUCAAGACAUAAAACAUGGAGGCUUUUAGUAGAAGAUAUUAAGGGAGCCUUGCCUGGAACAGACUUGCGCCUGCGUGUCCAACUAUCCCUCUAAUGCCUACAGCUGGCCAGAGAGCAUGCAUUUCUCCUGCAGCAUGCGGACUCCUCCCUAGCCUCCAGUCAUGUCCCCAGGUGCCUCCAAAAGAACCAGUGAAGGAAGACUUGCCCUAUAGCACAGGGACACUGUCCAGUUCACUAGACUCUCCCAGAGGCACACACAUGCUCUCAACAGAGAGACCUGGCUAAGGGGUGCUGACCUGCCCACAUAACAGACUUCUGACACCAUUAAGACUCUACCCAUGACACACAGACAAUCCCAACACCAGAGACUGGCUCCACAUUACAUAGACCCUGCCCAGGACACACAGACUCAACUUAUAGAACACAGAUUCUCCCGGCAGCACACAGACUCUCCUCAUGGUACAUGAUGCUCCUAUGCAUGCCCCACUGACUGAACCCAAGCUCAUAGAUGUCUUAUAGCACUCAGACUCCCCUCACGUCACAUCGACCCUCUCAAGGCCACACAGCAUAUAGACUCUCCUCACCUCGUGGAAACUCACCACAGAAGAGGAUGCUGCCCACAGCACACAGAAUCACUCCAGACCACACAAUCUCUCCACAGAAUGUAGACUUUCCCUCCAAACACAAACUCAUGACACAGCUCAAAAAGCCACCCCAUGCCACUAAAGACUCCCAUGAGACACAGACUCACUGCAUGGCACACAAACAAGUACCACAGAACACACACUACCCCAAGAGGACACAGAAUCAUCCCACACUAAGCAGACACUCCCUCAGUUAUGCAUGCUUACCCCAUGAAACCCAGACUCAACCCAUGUUACAGAGACACUCCCCACAGCACUCAGGCAGGCUUUUCCCGCCAUGCGCAGAUGCCACAGUACACUCUGCGGCAUGUAUGUCACGCCUGGAUGCACAGCAUUGCACCACAGCACAAAAAACUAGUCCUCCAGUGCACCAUUCAUUUCCCAACAGACAUGCCAACCACACAGUGCACACACUUGCCUUAUAGGCACACAUCUGCCCUACAACAUCUGGGCCUUCCUCCACAGCCACAGUUACCACAAGACACACAUUGUAGCCCUGUGCCACCAAAAUGCAGCCCAGUUCCUCAGAUACAUCACAGCGUGCAAACUGGCACUCCAGUGGACAGACUUGUACCACAGCAGACACUCCUGCCUCAGCACCUCACCUUUCUCUAAAGCAUUCAGGACGCCAUCACAUGUGUGACCCACGGUACCCUCACUAAGCCCACACCAUAGAUGCAAAAGCCUACAACAUGCAGGCACCUCCCUCAGCAUGAAACCUCACCCCCUCAACACUCAGAAUUAUGUCACAGCACAUAUCUGCUGUACAGCUUCAUGUCACAAACCCAUAUUUCUUAUAGUAGAUACAUAGAACGCAUGCCCCCAAACACAUGAAACCAUUUGCCAGGUGACCCAGAUUUACCACAGAGCACCCAGAAUGGUUUCACUGCUCACACUAAGGCCUACACAAACAAGACGUGCCCCAUCAUGCUCCCCAGUUCUCCCAUCAAUGUAUAUAUUUGCCUCCCCACUCAUAUGGAUGCUGCUGAAUAUUGGGACUCACCCUAAGUGUACAGACAAGCCUUUGAGACAGAAUUACCCCAUUCCGUACUCAGAUCAUACACACAACACUUAGACACGCCUUCAAGCUCCCAGGCAUGCCUGUAAACACAUAAGUUUGUUUCACCACACAUAGAAUCACUCCGGAGUACAAAACCUACAAUAUACAAAAGCAUUUCCCAUUGUGUAGACAUGCAGCACACACAUCAUCCCUCCUUUGUAGAGAUUUCUGUCCUAAUGCACACACAUGCUUUGGUUACCAUACUAUUGGCCUACAACAGAGAUACAGCUUGUGUAAUGGUUAAGAGCAAGGCCCGUGGACCCAGACCACCUGGGUUUGAAUGCAGAUCCCCAUUCUUGCUAAUUGUGUCACCAUGGAAGCUGGAAGAUUGAGAGUGGGAGAGAGAGGGCUUCGUGCCAAGUGCACACUUGCCACCUAGUGACCAUAUCGAGGGAGAAGAAUCUGGACCAUCUGCCAUGCCGUUCAGACCUGCUCCACACAUAGCACCGCACACAGGAUAGCUGGAUCGAGGGGUUAGACUCUGAUAGCUCUAGACUCUGAUGGCGACGUGGUGACCCAUGUGCUGGGGAUGAAACUGGAGCAGAAGACUGAGCUCACUUCUCUGCAAACCGAUUCCCAUUUUCUCUUUCCUUUCCCAAUUGCUACUGCCGCGACCAGUACUUUCACUGGUGCAUUAUCAUCCUUACCCUGAAGUCAGAGAGAAAUAGAAAUCAUUGUCCAGUAACCAGUAUUGCUAAUGUAGAAUGUGCAAAAUAUCAUUGACAUUUACUUCAGUGAACAAACCAGUUGUCCCGGCUUUCACAGUAUUCUCUUCUCUGCUCCCUCCCCCAACCCCUUUUUUUCCCUAAAAGGUCUUAAAUUUCUCCAGCACAGAUAGUGUGGGGGUUUCAGGAACUCAACCAUAGGGAGGGGACUGCAAUAUCUGAUUUGACAAUUUGAUUUUGUGCUCCUGAUCCUGAAAGUUGUUUCACUUCUGACUAAGCCUAACUUGCUUUUUUACCAGAAGGGACUAGUCUGCUCUAAGUUAAUUUGUUUUGCAGUGAUUCUAUAACUUAGCUAUUGGCUGGUCUUGAAAGGCAGUACAUUUGUGCAGAAUUCCUGGAUUUACAUUGUUACCUAACUAAGGAGGAAGAGCUGUUAUACUUCAUUUCUGUGGUUCCUCUCUGUUCUCAAAUCUGGCCUCCCAGUAAUUUGAACAGUAGAAUAUCCCGCUAGAUUCUGAUACUUCCUGUGCUGGAGAAUUCAUUUCCAGAUUGAACAUUUUUUUAUUCCCACUGUAUCCCUUAUGUUUACUUUAUUCAACUCAAUUGUUUUUAUAGAAGUCAUUGUUUCAAUUUUGGAAUUCUCCAGGCAGAUUUAACAGAUGGGAAAAAUAAAGUCAGAAAGCCAGAGAAAUGAAGCUAAUAUAGUAUUCUAAGAAUUCUUAGCAAAGACAUUAGGAACCUACUGUUCUCUUGGCUACUUGUACACAGUCUCAUUGGAUGUCUAUUUUGAACUCAGUUGGACAGUUACUCUGGGAACCAGAGAGACAGGAAGUCUAAAUAGCAUUGUUGUUUCUUCUCUCUUAACUGCUGCUUGGGCCAGCAUUGUUGUACUGGCACCAUAAUUAUAUGUCAUGAUGAAGAGCAAACAUCCUGAAUAGGAAAAGGAGGAAAAAUAACUCUUCAGCAUGUAGUUGCCAAAAAGGAACUUAUAUAGCUAAAAACCAUAAAGACAACCUGGAAUGAUGAGAUUUGGGUGCAGUAGUCAAAUAAAUGCUACCUUUGAGUAACAGCAUGAAAAAUGACAGCACAGAAUAAAUUGAAUUUGCUCUUAGAGGAAACAUAGAAGGAACCUACAUGAGUUGUGAUUAGGAAUGGGGGAAUCCAGUAAUUUUCUCCCCAGUCUGGAAGUCUGAAUGAUAGGCUCCCCAUAACUGAAUUUGAAGUGAUCAGGAAAAAGGGGAGAAGAUGAAGGCUACAAGGACAUGCCUGCAUAGUUACUUGAGAUGACAGAUAUUCUUGAGAGAAAAGUUUAUCAGCCUCAUUGGUUGACCUUGGGAGUACCUUAAGCCCUUUCUUAGAGACCAAGGUAAGUAGUAAUAUUAUUUUCUUUUCUUAUUAUUUGAAGAGUUGUGAUUCACAUUUUAGUCCCUUCCAGAAUAGAAAGUUAGGCAUAGGUGCCUUAGGAAAAAAAGGUAUAUGUAGCAUCAAUUUCUGGAAAAGAAAAAUAGAAAGUACCUCCCAUUUCUACUUAUGUUUUUUUCUUCUAGGUUAUAGGAUGUAGGUAAAAUAAUACAUAAAUAUUAGUGUAUAAAACAUCUUAACACUUUGCAUCUAUUGUUUCCAUAAACCUAAGUGGAGAAGUCUGUGUGGUAAAUAUUUCAAGUUUCUGUGGGUUAUUUGCUUAAUUAUUUUUUGGAGGGUGGGUACUGGGGAUGGAACUCAGGGGUACUCAACCACUGAGCCACACCCCCAGCCCUAUUUUGUAUUUUAUUUAGAGACAGGGUCUCACUAAGUUGCUUAGCAUGUCACUUUUGCUGAGGCUGGCUUUGAACUCAUGAUCCUCCUGCCUCAGCCUCCUGAACUGCUCAGAUUUCAGGCGUGUACCAUCGUGCCCAGCUAAUUUGCUUAUUCUUAAUCAUGCCUAGAAGUAAAUAUUUUUAAGCCAAUGAUCUUUUUUUAAUCAGUAUAUUUUUUAUAAUCAGUGCUUCUAUAUGCUUUUAAAGCAUAAGCUUUCCCAAUCAUGUAGCAUUCAUUGAGAUUACUGCCUUGGCUCUUGUUUCUCUUAAUUAGACCAGAAUUAGAGAAAUCAAAAUUUAAAUUGAAUUGCAUCCACUAGGAACUCUUAAUGGAAAAUAAUAAAAUUAGCAUGGUUUUUUGUUUGUUUGUUUUGUACCCUAGGGAUUGAACCUAGGGAUGCUUAACCACUGAGCCACAUCCCCAGACCUUUUUAUAUUUUAUUUAGAAACAGGGUCUCACUAAGUUGCUUAGAGCCUCACUAAGUUGCUGAGGCUGGCUUUGAACUUGUGAUUCUCCUACCUCGCCUCCUGAGCUGCUGACAUUACAGGCGUUUGCCACAGCAUCCAGUGAGGAAUUGAACAUCAUAUAAUCUUAUUUGUUGUGGACCUUGGCUUGAUAGAUGGAAACAUUUGUCUGGGGCCUAAGUCAUUUGAAAUAAAUGUUAGAAUGAAUCUAGUUCUUAUUUAAGACAAAAUUCAGUUAAAAUAAUCUAAGAAGUAUCACUGAUAAGGGUAAAUAAUGGACAUAUUUUAAUGUAGUUCAGUUCAAGAAGUCAGUAGAACUCACAGGAGGAUGUGAAGGUUUGGUAUAGGCUAAAUGGAGCAAUAGAACUUCAUGACAGCACUAUAGUGUAAACAGGUAUUGUUCUUCUUUAAGUGAAAAAUAGCCCCCCAAAUUGAAAAGCUAACAUUUCUCUGAGUAGGUUAUAUGCUGACAUUUCUUUGAGUAGUUUUAGUAGAAAGGCCCUUUCUGUUGCCAAAUGGUUUGGGCGAGUUCUUUUUUAUUUUUCUUCUCUUUUUUUUUUUUGGGGGGGGGGCGAGUUCUUGAGAUGAUAUUAAGAAGCACCUUGAAACUUCCUUCUUUAUAGAUAUAUUUCAACCCUCUGGCAAAAAAAGAAAGAAAGUGGGGAGAAAGGGCAGUCCAGGCUGCUGAAAUGUGGAGAAUAUAUUUAAAAACUGGUAUUACAUUUAAAAAGAUCUUUUUUAUUUAAAAUCUUUUAAAGUUCAAUUUAAGUUCAGUGCAGAGCCAGCUCUUUAAAUUACAUCUGGAUCACAUAGCUGCUGCCACCUGAAUGCUGGUCAAGGGUUUCCACAGCGUGUUUAAGUCUGAUGGCUUCUGUGAACAAUGGUUGUGAUGUGAAAUACAUUGAUCACUGAACUUUUCAUGGUAUUAUUAUCAUUUAAUGUUCUUUGAUGUUGGUGGGUUAUGGUUGGUUAGGUAUUUGGAAAGAAAUUUGCUGUGAACAGAGUAUGUGUAUAUAUAUAUAUAUAUAUAUAUAUAUAUAUGUG